CAUAAUGGAUAUGACUAGGCCAAAGCACAGAUACACAAGGAACUGUGGAAGUACUAUGACUAGAGAAAAAUAUCUCCUUUGCCAAUAAAAAAAUUUCAUGACCAUAGAUAUGAGUAGCUCAAAGCACAUAGUACAUGAAGCUUGGGAUAUACUCCCAGGUCCAGACAAAAAUACCCCCUUUGGCAAUGAAUUGAUUUCAGCACCAUGGACAGCCACAUUUGCUCCCCUAUCCUACAAGUUUUGCUAAAUCUCUUCUGUAGCUUUCACAUCUGUUUUGUUGUUAUGUGUCUUAGCUAAUGGGUUGAUAACUGUCCUCCCACACUUAUCUUUUCUACUACACCCAUGAUAUAAUAGAAAGAUAAUUCCUCAGGCUUUUUUCUGUUAAAGUGAUACUUUGCUUGGGUGCAAAAGAAGGAAGGACAAUGGAAUCACAGAAUUUGAGGUCGAAAAUAUCUUAGUGCUUUAGUGACUAUCCUGUCCUACUCAGGCCCUAAAGAAAUUCCCAUGAUAAUCAUAUCAUCUUAGAGUUGCAAAGGACCUCAGAGGACACUGAGUGCAAAUGAUAGUGUUUUGCAAACUUUAAAGUGUUACAUAAAUGUUAUCUGUCCAGUAUUCAAUGGGAAUACAGAUUUGUUAGGAUUAAGUGUUGUUAAUCCUUCAAUUAUCCAGAUACAACCUCUUAAAAGAACUGAACAACAGGAUUUAGCAAAUACUUUACCUUCACCUCCUCUUCAGUUUCUUGUGCAGAGACCUCUGCCCCCUCUUGGACCAGUUUCUGUGGAGAAGUUUUUGGCACAUAAAAUGCAAAAUGGACAGAGAUCUACAUUUAUUCCUUUGUCUGUCUUGAACACUUCAGCAAUUACAUCUUCAGCAGUUACAUCCAAUUCAGCAAAUUUACUUAUUUCCACACCUGAGAGUGAGCGCACUGAGAAGCUCAAAAAAUCUUUAAAAGUGAAAACCCGAUCAGGGCGGAUUUCACGGCCACCAAAAUAUAAAGCUAAAGAUUACAAGUUCAUUAAAACUCAGGAUUUAGCUGAUGGGCACCAGUCAGAUUCUGAUGACUAUUCAGAACUUAAUGUGGAAGAGGAAGAUGACAAGAGAAUCUCCUAGAAUACCUCUGGUAAUGGGACGAUCUCCCAAAGUAUCACAUUCCAUUUUUGGACAGCUAUAAUUGAUUUUCCUCCUUUUGUGCUGCCAAACUCUCUUCUUGAACACGAAUCACUUCUACAAUAUCUUUAGUAAAUAGCCAUCUGAGUCUUAGAUAGAAAGUUUAUCAUGAAAAGUGAUCAAGGAUUUCCAUAGUAUUUUUCCUCACUCAAAGCAGGCAAAGCCCACAGAGAAAAACAAAAAUCUGGAAUACUUGUUAUUUUACUUUCUUUUUUUCCACUUCAUUCCCUAAUUGAUUAUGAUAAUUUGAUAGGAUAGCUAAGGAAGGUGACAAUUACUGGAGAUAGAAACUAUUUCCAUGAAUGGAAAAAAUAUGUAUGUCACAUUCAUGAUUUGCUGAUUUUAUUUUCAGUUUGAGUUUUAUGUAGUUAAUAUCCCAGGACACAAAAGUGAACAACAUAUCACCACCUCUGACAAGUCUCUUUAGAAGAAGGGAAGAGUGAGGAUAUUUUUUUUUCUUAGAGAAGCAGGAAAAAAUUCACUUAAAUGAAAGUCAUGUGAUCUGGAUUGAAUUCUGUCUGUUAUUUGUGUAUGUGAUUUUUGCAAAGUAAUUUAAAGUUUUUAAAUCACAGUAUCUUCAUGAAUAAAAAAGGAAAAAUAUUCAUUCUCCCUAACUCCAUGAGUUGAUUUGAAGACAAAUUGACAUAAUGUGCAUAUAGCUAUAAAUUACUAUAUAAACUUCUAUCUUUUGUGAAGAAAUGAUGAAAUAGGAUGGAUUUAAUCACAGCACCACAGAGUUGAGGGCACCUCCAGGGUCACGGAGUCCAAUCUGUUCCAGAAUAGGAGUCCCCAUUAGAGACCUCCCUUUAGGUCAACUCAUUAAUUACUACUUUUAGUAUAACACCUCUUCAGUUUUUCCAAAGGUCACUGCCAGUAGUCAAACAAUCACAUAUACUUUUGUAUAUGUGUAUGUAUGUGUGUAUAUAGUUUGAUUUUUAUGAUUAUCUUAAGAUAUAGUUCAUUCAUGCUUGGUUACUUGAUCUUAUUGAGGGAAGUUCGCUGCUUCCUUACCAUAUCCCAAUUUAUUGAUCUAAGAGACAGACAGGUUGUAUAGUGGAGAGAUCACUGGAUGUCAAGUCAGGAAGAUGUGAGUUCAAAUGUGACUUAUUAUAUUUACUAGCUGUGUGUUACUCAGCAAGUUAUUUAACUACUAAUUGCUUAAAGUUUGCCAUUUGUAAAAUUCAUAUAAUAAUAACAUCUAAUCCUAGGAUCUUUGAGAGAAUCAAAUGUGAAAAUAUUUGUUAUGUCCUUUAAAAAAAAAAACCCUUACCUUCCAUCUUGGAAUCAAUACUGUAUAUUUCUUCCAAGGAAGAAGAGUGGUAAGGGCCAGGCAAUGGGGGUUAAGUGACUUGCCCAGGGUCACACAGUUGGGAAGUGUCUGAGGUCAGAUGUGAACCAAGGACCUCCCAUCUCUAGGCCUGGCUCUCAAUCCACUGAGCUACCCAGUUGCCCCCUGUACAGUCCUUUUUAAACCUCAAAGCACUACAUAAAUCUUGUCUGAUAGUAUUAUCUUAUAUUUCCUGUAUCUGUUAAAACAUGUUUAUUUUAUCCUCUACUUAGAAAUCAUUUGAUUAUCAAUAUAAAGAGUAAUCAAAUAAGAAUUGGGUAUUUCUUCCAUCUCUCCAUGGUCUGUUAUCAUUAUCCAAUCCAUCCUGUGAAGCAACCUUUCAUUUCUUUGAGAUUCCUUUUGUUUCAUAAUUUAAUGAUAAAAUCAAACAUUUUGUUCUCCUAAACUUUAAUUAAUCUUUGGUUACUUAAGUUGAUCACAACAGUUCUUCUAAAAUGAUGCCAUGCUUUCCUAUUCAUUAAUUGUGCUUGCUUUCUUCCAUCUUCUUUACAUUUCAUUAAAUAAUAUUCAAGUUGGUUAAUGAAUUUCCCGUGUUCCCAUUCAGUUAAUUCUAUUUAGAUAACUCAUCAUUUUUCAUUCUCCUUGGAAUCUUUGUGUUUGUGAUGUUGGUUAAGACAUUCUAGAGUAGACCAGUUUUGAACUGUAUCUUGAAGAAAAUAUUUUUAAAAUCACCAAUUUCAUACUUUAUUUUAGCAUGUUAAGUUUUUUUUUUCUCAGUAGUUUCCCAAAGAGUGAUGAAGAUAGGAAGUAUCACCUGUCUUAACUAAAAGCUGACAGGAAUAGCAUAAUGAAUAAUCUUUACUCCAUGUUACAUGGUUGAGAUGUUAUAAAACUGACAUUAAGAAAGCUUUCAUAGGUGUUUAGAAUAAACCUUCAUGAUAAAAACUCAUCAUUGGACUCUUACUUAUGACUCCUCUCAUUGUCCUUCUUGAGUUUUAAUUAUAAUGCAUAGAUUUUUGAUUUUUCUCCUUUAAUAUAUAGGUUUCAAGUUGUCAUAAAUUCUCCCUUUUAGGUAACCACAGCAUUCUGUAGUGCUCACAAAAUGAACCCUCUCACAUGUUGAGGUAACCUGGCUGAGAAUCUCAAGCUCCUCAUUGGUAUGAGGACAUAAUCAACAAUUAAUAUCCACUCUCUUGCCCUCAGAGAUGCUGGAUUUCCUAAGGAUAAUUGAUAAAAUUUGUUACCAAAGUGAUAAGGAGAGUGCUGGUGCCAUCCUGAGUUCAACUCAUAUUUUAAAAUUAUCCCCAAAUGGUAAUGAGCUACCUUGAUAAAUAGUGGGUUCCUACUCAUUAGAAGUAUUCAUUAAGAGUUUGGAAUAGGAGUGUCAAAAUGUGUAGCCCACUGCUGCAUUGUGGCCCAGAAUGCUCUAGCAUAUAGUCUAAACAGGAUUAAAUUGUAAUUGAGAAAUAUUUAAAAAAAUAAAUAAAAAUUAUAAUAGAACAAAGAACAUGUUAAUAUGUGGCUUUCUAAGUAAAUACAUGAUUAGCAGGGAUCCUUUUGCAUGGUACAAGUGCCCCCAUUUCUAUUUGAGUUUGAUACCACUCAUUUAGUGUGCUGUAAUAGGGAUCCUUUAUGGUUAAGAGUUGGAAGAGAUGACUGCUGAGGUUCUUUCUGACUUUAUAAUACUGUGACUCCCUUGUGAAUUUGCAGAGAACUUGAGUCUCUGAAACCAUCAAAACAAGAAGCUUUGAUAAGUAUUAAAUAUGCUUGAGAGAAGGAAAAUCAAAUUGUAUUCUUCCAAGGCCUCACCAUAGAAUAAGCUUUUGCACCGGAGUUUGCCAAGGUUUAACACUGGAGGUGGAGCAAGGAAGGGCAAAUGCCAUUACAUAUGGAAAAGAAAAGGAUUUGAUGGAUGGUGAAGGUCCAUUUAGCAAGUCAAGAAAAAUGUGCCAUUGCCCUGUUUUACCUGAGCAGAGCACAAGGAAAUAGCACGUAAGUGAUGCAUGGCAUUUAAUGAGUCAGGACUGAAAACUUUAAUUAGCUUGUAGGCUUUUUAUUAUUAUUAUUUUUUGUUCAUUAUAGUUUCUCCUCAGUCUCUAUGGAUGUUCUGCAUUUUCAUCAUCAAAUGACUGGCUGGCUAUUUUUGUCAAACAAGAAGCCUGAAACGAUCAAGUCUGAGAGCUGAGACUGUCUGCCCAUUCUGUCAACAGGAUGAAAGUUAUUUUCAACUUUAAUUCUUUGAAACUGCAGUUCCAUGAUUUGAAGCUAUACAGUGUCAUCAAAAAUGGUUUUGGUAAAGAUAUAAUAAGGAAAAAGACUUGUACAAAAAUAUUUAUAGCUGCACUCCUUGUGGUGGCAAAAAAUUGGAAAAAUGAGGGGAUGCCCUUCAAUUGGGGAAUGGCUGAACAAAUUGUGGUAUAUGUUGGUGAUGGAAUACUAUUGUGCUAAAAGGAAUAAUAAACUGGAGGCAUUCCAUGGGGACUGGAACAACCUCCAGGAAGUGAUACAGAAUGAGAGGAGCAAAACCAGGAGAACAUUAUACCCAGAGACUGAUACACUGUGGCACAAUCAAAUAUAAUAGACUUCUCUAUUAGCAGCAAUGCAAUGAUUCAGGAAAAUUCUGAGGGACUUAUGAGAAAGAAUGCUAUCCACACCCAGAGAAAGAACUGUGGAAGUAGAAACACAGAAGAAACACAAUUGCUUGAUCACAUGGUUUGAUGGGGAUAUGAUUGGGGAUAUAGACUCUAAAUGAUCACCCUAGUACAAAUAUUAAUAAUAUGGAAAUAGAUCUUGAUCAAUGACACAUGUAAAACCCAGUGGAACUGCUCAUUGGCUCUGGGAGGGGGAUGGUGUGAGGGGAAAGAAAGAACAUGUAUCAUGUAGCCAUGGAAAAAUAUUCUAAAUUAAUUAAUUAAAUAAAUGAAUUUUAAUAAAACCAUA